CUCGCGCCGCUGCUCGUCUUGCGUUUGGUCUACGGAGGGGAGGAAGGAGACGAUGAGGCCUUGCAGGCGCCGAGGUUUGUCCGCGGGGCGGGGAGUGAGGCCGAGCCUCGGGGUUCCUUCAGCACUGGGCCUUUUUCUUGGGAGGGGGGCUUCCUUCUCCGCGGGAUGAUGAUGCCGUGAUAGGAAGUGCCGUCAGAUGCGAGAACUGACGAGAGAUUCCCACCGGCUGACCUCGGAGCAGAGCCACGCGGGCCGCCUUUAACCCCCGUCCCAAUAGGGGCCCGUGAAGAAGAAGCCGCCCCCCCCAUAACCCCCGCGUGGGGAUGGAGGAGGCCGUGGGUCCCCCCUUGAAAGCACGUGGUGGCGAGAUCUGGCCUUCCCUAGGGUUGGGCGCUCGUGGAGAGGCUGGAUCUGCAGAUGCAAACGGAGGAUCUGCCCACGCGGUUAGCAGGGGGGACCAUAUCGGAAGUUAUUUUGUCUACCCCAUUUGAAAUAACGGCCACGGGGGGGGGCAAUGGGUUUCCGAAGUGCAGGGUUGUUGCUUUCCAGCUUACACCAUAGGCUCAUAGAAUAAUAAUGGGGUUUUUUUUUGUUACCCAGCCCAUUUGACUGGGUUGCCCAGUCAGUUGACAUCACAGCUGGGCUCCUGCAGAACUGGAUUCUUCCAGCCUCUUCCUUGAGCCACUUACUUUUGAGGCGGAGGGAGCCCUUCACUUAACUGCCUCCCUGACUUUCGCUCUCUUGUUGCAGGUUUGUUUCAUUUGCCACGUGGGGCCAGGCCUGAAGUGGCAGGAGGGAGGAUGGAUCCUGACCCGCCUGCUUAGAAGCUAGCUGCCCUAAAGGUAAGCCUACAAGUCUCUGAGACAGAGUAUUAUUUCCUAGGGAAAGCCUCACAGUGAUGAAACAAAACCUCAACUAAGCUGGAAUUACCGUCAGACUUUUGCUGUUGAGAAGGUUCUUUCUGAGCAAUCCACACCCCAGUGGGGAGGAAGUACAGCUGCUUCUGCUCCCUCCACAAAAAAUAGCUCUGGUUAACAGGGUUGUCCUUUUUCUCUGCAGGGAGCUGAAGCUGUCUUCUUCCCAAGAGCAGCAUUCCUGAUUCCUGUGGCCUUGGCUUCAAAGGUAUGAUGAGGCUUUUUUUAUUUCAGAAGUGGGAGGGGAGGUCUUUCUGUGUUCUGGCUGGUGAGGAUACUGCUUGAGGAUAGCCCAGUUCACAUCUAAAGCUAUGUUACUGCUUCCUGUGAAUGAAAAUGUUGCAGCCAGAAGAUUGCAAACCACCUGGGCCAAGCCAGUUUGGAUUAAGAUAGCACAGUAGAGCAUGAGACUCCUCAUCUCAGGGCCAUGGGAUCGAGCCCCAUGUUGAAUUUCUAGAUGGCCCUUGUGAUCCCUUUCAACUAUGAUUUUAUAUAUCAUUAUCCACCUGGAUCAGGGCUCAUUUGUCCAAAUGGAUUUAGCACCAGGACUUGGGUUGGAGCAGCUGCAGCCUUCAGUCUGGGAACUAAACUGGCUUGGGGAACAUUUUUUGCGUCCGAGAGCCACAAUAGGUUGCCGGGGGAGUUCUCUCACCCUUGUUUUAGUGUUACAUGUUGAGCAGUCUGUUGAGUAGCAAAUGGUGAAGGGGAAACAAAUUGGACCCGCGAUCCUCUGCUGAAAACCAUUUGUACUUUCUUGUUCAUAGAGGGUGAGAAGAAGCAACUGUUUGUUUUCUCCUCUGGGUGGCAGCAGGGUCAAGAACAGAGGGCAAGGGAUUUCCAAGAGCCUGGAAAAGCCAAAUGCUUCCCAGCAAAGAGGUAUGUGUGUACCCUUGCCUACACUUGGUCUCUGAGGCCUGGCACAUUAGCAGGGCAAAUACGUAAUGACUGCCUUCAAAGCACUGCACUCUGGUCUCGUAGCGUCUCCUGAAUUGCUGUGACUGGGUGUAAUUAAGUGUGGUACCACUUGGCCUUAGGUAAUCUCCGCUGUAGAUUCCUUGUGCCUGCUUCUUCACAGUAGAGUGGAGAGGGGUGAAGAUUAAAUCAUAAGGGCCUAUGGUAGGGCUGGGCGAUUGCUGGUUUUGAACAUCACAAUAUACCAAUAUAUCACAAUGUCUGAAAUAAGGGUGGAACUAUGUAGAAGCAUAGACUGGCUUCAUGUUUUUCCCACAUCGUGAUUUUUGCAUAGCACAGACAUACGAGAAACUAAUAUGAUACGGACUGGUUUGGGGCAAUGUAAUUAUAUAUUGCCCAGCCCUAGUGUGUGGUAGAUUGUGCAGUUAACUUAAGCAGCGCUGGUCACGGUAUUUCUACUGAAAUGAGUUUGUUGGAAGGCGUGCCAAUUACUGUAUUUACAUGUGAAUUGUCAUGAUAUCUUUCAGGUUAGUGGCUGAUGACUUGUUACCACACACAGCUCAAAAGCGGGCCCCCCAGCAUUUUCUUCAAGACCUUCCCAGGUGCACCCCACCGCCUCUCUCUCUUUGCAUAUGGCAUACCUGGCAGUGUGGCUGUGACGCCUAGAAAUCAAGUAGAGGCUCAUUCCAAUCCAACUUCAUCUUUGCAAAGUUUUGGGAACAGGGCAGAAGACAGAAACCUGUUUUGAAAUGUCUCUUCUGUCUGUAUGUGGCCACAAAUAUUUAUAAGCUGUGAGAGUGAAUAAAACUUACUUUUGAAUGUACAA